rnacentral:lncRNA from 1 species
CUCAUGCUUUUUAACCAGGGUAAGGCAUAAGAAUGAUGUAAGACAUUCUGUAUGUAUGUAUAUUUAUAUUUGUGAGGAACUCCAAUAAUAACUCGGUGUGUAGAAACUUAAUUUACUCGGUGUGUAGAAACUUAAUUUCAUGGUGUUGCACAUAUGAUGUUUGAAUGACACUGCAUGCCUUAAAAUAUCUAGAAAUAGAUAGUUUUAGCUCAAAUACUCAUCAUUGAUCUAGAUAUAAGGUUUAUUUGCUUAUAAAUGAAGAUAACUAUCUAUAGGAACCAUAUGACAAGCCAAACCCAAACAUAAUAUGCCAGGUUUGGCACAUGACCGACCUGACCUGACCUGUAUGAGUGGAUCAGUCAAUAAAAAUUCCUAAGAAUCUCAUGACCUGUGUGGUCAACUUAUAGACCGCCUCCAGUCAAAAUCUUGAACUGAAACUGUACUGGUUAGGAUCAAGGCAUGAGCAACAUGAUCCUAACAUGGCUUGUUUGCAGGCCUAGUUUCAUGUCACAAUAUCCAUUUUUAGCAUUGAAUUGUCAUAGUUAUAUUGUUGAUAUUC